GUGACAACCUGUUCUAUCGUAUCCCGGCUUGUCCGCGGGUAAGGAAAGUCAGGACAACACAGAGCGCCAUACUUCCUAACGGGAAGGUCCUGCGGCUGAACACCGUGGGAACAGCCAGUGCCACAGAAAAUAUACCGUCCGCCUUAGGCGGAUAAGGGUGAAAACGCGGGGUAAGAGCCCACGCCAGUGUGUAGCGAUACACCUGAGGGUAAACCUUAUGGGUUGAAAGACCAAAUAUACCGGGAGUAGCACCGCGCAAGCGGUUGCUGUAAGGGUUGCUCGCCCGAUGCCCGGGGGGUAGGUCGUUGGAGGCCGUUAGUGAUGACGGUCCCAGAUAAAUGAUGGAAGCCGGAGGGUCGGCAACAGGCCCAAGGGAACAGAAUCCUGCUUACAGGGUUGUCACCUAA
rnacentral:RNase_P_RNA from 1 species